UGAAGGCAACGUUUGCGUGUAUCCCUCAGGGAAGGUAAACCUGAGGCACGUAAGGAUUCUAACAAGGCAAGAUCUGGAUGAUGCAGCUGUUAAGGUCCGUCUACGACUCAAUUACCAGGGCAGCAGCGUACUUGAUUUGCAAAUUUUUUAUGGUCAGUGGGUGACUUUGUCUACCAUCAGAUAUUAAUCACCUUAUCUAGCUGAUAAAUAAUCAAUUUGAGGACCUGAAAAUUUUUCCAAUACAUGCUGGUCUUAUUGCAAUGAUCCUCACAAAGUUGCUCUUAAAGUUGUGUGUUUGACUAGUCAACCCAGCUAUAAUCAGAAAGAUUGAGAUUGAUGUGAUUGAUGGUCACAAACUUCUGGGGUUACUAAGGAAUCGGCUGGCACAUCGCAUGGAAGCCAUAGCAGCUGGUUAUGGUAUUUUUAAUAAGAAGAAGCACGAUUUCUCUCGAGUGGGUACUCACCCAAUGGGAAUCAUGUUAUUUUUGCUGAAAGUGGAGUCACCUGGGAUCAUUUCAGAAGGAAUAAUAAGAUGGUCUUGAAUGUGAAUUUUAAGUCAACAACUGCCGGUGGUAUUCCUUCUCUUCCUGGUGAGAAUACUCAUCAAUCGUAUUAGCUUGCUUCUGAGAUCAGUAAGAAGGCUUCAAGAUCUUUGAUCAAGAAGUUGAGGAAGAUUGAGUUGGAAGGAGGUUGUAUUGAUGUUCUUACUGAAGACAACGUUCACGUGUAUUCCAGAGGGAAGGUAAACCUGAGGCACGUACGGAUUCUAACAAGGCAAAAUCUGGAUGAUGCAGCUAUUAAAGCUCAUCUACGACUUAAUUACCAGGGCAACAGCAGACUUGAUUUGGAAAUUGUUUAUGGUCAAUGGGUGGCUUUGUCUACCAUCUUAUAUUAAUCUCCUUCUCUGGCUGAUGAAUAAUCACUUUGAGGACCGGGAAAUUUUCCCAAUACAUCCUGGCCUGAUUUUAAUGAUCUCUUACCCUCAGCUAUUUAAGGAGUUGUAUGAUUUAUUGAAAUUCAAAAUUGAUCAUUCAGAGUAUGAGGCCAUCUUUAUUGCUCUUGUUGCUGGUCUUGGCAAUGAUUGGAGAGUUGGGGUUCAAGAAAACGAUCUUCUUUGUGAGACUUAUAAUUUCAAUGGAGGCUCGGAUUAUGAGGCCCCACGCAACUCGCAGAAUCAGCGUCGUGUCACAGGACAAAUGCUGCCUCUUGCUGGCUGAUAAUGGAGUUACAGAUCGAAGCAAAGGAAGAGUGAAGCAAACAAAAUUUGUUGGUUGGGUCCGUGCUAAAUUGCCAAUGCCUUUUGGUUGUUUCUCUUGUACUCUUGUGCGCCGCAAUUCAAUGUGAGAUUGAUAGGUAGCUCGAGUGCAGAUUAGAAUGCACUGACCAAAAAAAAGGACAGUUGUCCUAAGAUGCCAACUUGCUUUCAGAUGCACCUCCAUUUUGGUUCUUUAAA